CAGUUCCUCGUUGUUUGCUCCUUCCUGCCUGGGUUCAUCCCUCCACACCCUGAACCUUCCAAAAAAUCUCUUUCAUGAGAUUUGCUGCCUGGUGUGGUUCACCAGAAGAAGAAAAGCUAUAAAGAAAAGCAAAGAGAAGAAGUUCGCUGAGGCCCCUGAGCGCCUCAGCUCAGCUGGGGAUCCACUCCCCUGGGAGCUGCAGUGCCACAGCUGAGGAAGCUUCCUCUCAAAGCUGUGUGGUUCCUGGGCCCCCGUGUCUCAGGACGCCCCUCCACUGAGAUUCCUCCCCUCAGAGCUGUGUCAUUCCUGGGCUUCCAAGUCCCAGGACAUCUUCCCCUCUGAGCAGAAAGGCCAACACUCAUUACCUAAACUUUUUAAUUCUUUAGAAGCGCAACCAUCAGAAGGAUAAAGAGGACUGUUACAGAUAAAGGCGAGUAGACAUGCUCAGCCCACUGGUCACCUCUCUUUGGGUAUUCGUACAGCCAGUUUCAACUCUAAAUGGAUCGAUUCAAGAGCAGUCAAUGUACGAUCAUCAGAAGCUUGGCCUUCCCACGUUAGGAAUUUGGAUAAUGACGGCAGGAAGCCCACAAGCCAGUGCAGACCUGCGAGGGGCAGGCAGGGGGUUACGUGGAACAGAGGGAGAGGUGGGUGGUCUGUACCUCUGAUAAUCCUGCCACAGCUGAACCUAUGAGUCGCACUAACUCUCUUCUGAGGAGCAAGCCCAUGUGAGCAGCA
rnacentral:lncRNA from 1 species